rnacentral:tRNA from 1 species
GCCGGAGUAGCUCAGCUGGUAGAGCAGGGCUCUUGUAAAGCUCAGGCCAGGGGUUCGAGUCCCCUCUCCGGCU